CCCGCAAAGGGCCGCCAAAAAAAUGCAAGUCGUACCAUGUAACCGUAAACUUGCUGCUUUGCUGACGAGUGGCGGACGGGUGAGUAAUGUCUGGGAAACUGCCUGAUGGAGGGGGAUAACUACUGGAAACGGUAGCUAAUACCGCAUAACGUCGCAAGACCAAAGAGGGGGACCUUCGGGCCUCUUGCCAUCGGAUGUGCCCAGAUGGGAUUAGCUAGUAGGUGGGGUAACGGCUCACCUAGGCGACGAUCCCUAGCUGGUCUGAGAGGAUGACCAGCCACACUGGAACUGAGACACGGUCCAGACUCCUACGGGAGGCAGCAGUGGGGAAUAUUGCACAAUGGGCGCAAGCCUGAUGCAGCCAUGCCGCGUGUAUGAAGAAGGCCUUCGGGUUGUAAAGUACUUUCAGCGGGGAGGAAGGGAGUAAAGUUAAUACCUUUGCUCAUUGACGUUACCCGCAGAAUAAGCACCUCUAACUCCGUGCCAGCAUCCGCGGUAAUACGGAGGGUGCCUGCGCUUAUCCCAAUUACUGGUCGUACACCUCACUUCUUCCUUUUGUU
rnacentral:rRNA from 1 species